rnacentral:rRNA from 1 species
UACAGAGGUCUCAAGCGUUGUUCGGAUUCAUUGGGCGUAAAGGGUGCGUAGGUGGCGCGCUAAGUCAGGUGUGAAAUUUCGGAGCUUAACUCCGAAACUGCAUUUGAUACUGGCGUGCUUGAGGACUGGAGAGGAGACUGGAAUUCAUGGUGUAGCAGUGAAAGUGCGUAGAGAUCAUGAGGAAGACCAGUGGCGAAGGCGGCAUCCGUGGACCAACACUGACACUGAGGAGCGAAGCCAGGGAGCAAACGGG